rnacentral:rRNA from 1 species
GACAGAGGUCUCAAGCGUUAGGCGGAAUCACUGGGCUUAAAGCGUGUGUAGGCGGAUCGUUAAGUGCUUUGUGAAAUCCCACAGCUCAACUGUGGAACUGCUUGGCAUACUGGCGGUCUUGAGCCAUCUAGGGGUCGCUGGAACAAACGGUGGAGCGGUGAAAUGCGUAGAUAUCGUUUGGAACGCCAAUGGUGAAAACAGGCGACUGGGGAUGUGCUGACGCUGAGACACGAAGGCCAGGGGAGCAAACGGG